rnacentral:rRNA from 1 species
GACAGAGGAGCCAAGCGUUGUCCGGAUUGACUGGGCGUAAAGCGCACGCAGGCGGUCGCGCGCGUGGGGUGUGAAAUCUGGCCGCUUAACGGCCAGGCGCCAUCCCAUACGGCGCGACUGGAGUGAUGCAGAGGUCGAUGGAAUUGCCGGUGUAGUGGUGAAAUGCGUAGAGAUCGGGCAGGAACACCCAGGGGGAAACCAGUCGACUGGGCAUCUACUGACGCUGAGGUGCGAGAGCGUGGGGAGCGAACAGG